rnacentral:rRNA from 1 species
AAAGGAAUAGACGGGGGCCCGCACAAGCGGUGGAGCAUGUGGUUUAAUUCGACGCAACGCGCAGAACCUUACCAGCCCUUGACAUGUCCAGGACCGGUCGCAGAGAUGUGACCUUCUCUUCGGAGCCUGGAGCACAGGUGCUGCAUGGCUGUCGUCAGCUCGUGUCGUGAGAUGUUGGGUUAAGUCCCGCAACGAGCGCAACCCCCGUCCUUAGUUGCUACCAUUUAGUUGAGCACUCUAAGGAGACUGCCGGUGAUAAGCCGCGAGGAAGGUGGGGAUGACGUCAAGUCCUCAUGGCCCUUACGGGCUGGGCUACACACGUGCUACAAUGGCGGUGACAAUGGGAUGCAAAGGCGCGAGCCCUAGCAAAUCUCAAAAAGCCGUCUCAGUUCGGAUUGGGCUCUGCAACUCGAGCCCAUGAAGUUGGAAUCGCUAGUAAUCGUGGAUCAGCAUGCCACGGUGAAUACGUUCCCGGGCCUUGUACACACCGCCCGU